rnacentral:rRNA from 1 species
GAUGAACGCUGGCGGCGUGCCUAAUACAUGCAAGUCGAGCGAACAGAUAAGGAGCUUGCUCCUUUGACGUUAGCGGCGGACGGGUGAGUAACACGUGGGUAACCUACCUAUAAGACUGGAAUAACUCCGGGAAACCGGGGCUAAUGCCGGAUAAUAUUUAGAACCGCAUGGUUCUAAAGUGAAAGAUGGUUUUACUAUCACUUAUAGAUGGACCCGCGCCGUAUUAGCUAGUUGGUGGGGUAAUGGCUUACCAAGGCAACGAUACGUAGCCGACCUGAGAGGGUGAUCGGCCACACUGGAACUGAGACACGGUCCAGACUCCUACGGGAGGCAGCAGUAGGGAAUCUUCCGCAAUGGGCGAAAGCCUGACGGAGCAACGCCGCGUGAGUGAUGAAGGUCUUCGGAUCGUAAAACUCUGUUAUUAGGGAAGAACAAAUGUGUAAGUAACUGUGCACGUCUUGACGGUACCUAAUCAGAAAGCCACGGCUAACUACGUGCCAGCAGCCGCGGUA